CCUACGGGAGGCAGCAGUGGGGAAUAUUGCACAAUGGGCGAAAGCCUGAUGCAGCAACGCCGCGUGAGGGACGACGGCCUUCGGGUUGUAAACCUCUUUUAGCAGGGAAGAAGCGAAAGUGACGGUACCUGCAGAAAAAGCGCCGGCUAACUACGUGCCAGCAGCCGCGGUAAUACGUAGGGCGCAAGCGUUAUCCGGAAUUAUUGGGCGUAAAGAGCUCGUAGGCGGUUUGUCGCGUCUGCUGUGAAAUCCCGAGGCUCAACCUCGGGCCUGCAGUGGGUACGGGCAGACUAGAGUGCGGUAGGGGAGAUUGGAAUUCCUGGUGUAGCGGUGGAAUGCGCAGAUAUCAGGAGGAACACCGAUGGCGAAGGCAGAUCUCUGGGCCGUAACUGACGCUGAGGAGCGAAAGGGUGGGGAGCAAACAGGAUUAGAUACCCUGGUAG
rnacentral:rRNA from 1 species